UACGUAGGGUGCAGGCGUUACUCGGAAUUACUGGGCGUAAAGCGUGCGCAGGCGGUUUCUUAAGUCAGAUGUGAAAGCCCCGGGCUUAACCUGGGAACUGCGUUCGAAACUGGGAGACUUGGGUGUGGCAGAGGGGGGUGGAAUUCCACGUGUAGCAGUGAAAUGCGUAGAUAUGUGGAGGAACACCGAUGGCGAAGGCAGCCCCCUGGGUUAACACUGACGCUCAUGCACGAAAGCGUGGGGAGCAAACAGG
rnacentral:rRNA from 1 species